UACGAAGGGGGCUAGCGUUGUUCGGAAUCACUGGGCGUAAAGCGUGCGCAGGCGGCUAUGCAAGACAGAUGUGAAAUCCCCGGGCUCAACCUGGGAACUGCAUUUGUGACUGCAUGGCUAGAGUACGGUAGAGGGGGAUGGAAUUCCGCGUGUAGCAGUGAAAUGCGUAGAUAUGCGGAGGAACACCGAUGGCGAAGGCAAUCCCCUGGACCUGUACUGACGCUCAUGCACGAAAGCGUGGGGAGCAAACAGG
rnacentral:rRNA from 1 species